UUUAGGUUUAAAGUAAAUAUUAUAUAAUGUAACGAUGUUCAUAUAUUCUAUUAAAUAUAAUAUAUUAUUUUGACUUGAAUUUAAUAGAUAAAAAAAAGUAAGAUUUAUGAAUGAACAUAUGAAAAAACUAGAAACUUUAAUUUUGAAACAGAAAAAAAAAAAACUCGAGUGAAAUGUAAAUAUAGAAGUACACACUAUAGAUAGAAAAGAUAAAUUAUUUAUUAACUGAGUGUUAAACUAAUUAAUAGUAAAAUUAUUUAUCUUAAGAUAUAUUGUUAGACUUGAAUCUAAUGAUUAAAAAAUUAAGAUUAAUUGAUGAAUUAGGAUUGUAACUAUUGAAAAUAUCAUCAUAAUGCAAUAGCUUAAUUAAUUGAGUUUGUUGAAAUAUCAUAAUUAGAAGUAAUAAUUAAAUUAUAAAAAUAUAUUUUAAUAAAUAUUUAAAAUCAUCAAAAAGUAAAUUCUGUCAUAAAAAAUGGCCAAGUUAUAUUAUUUAAAAAAAAUAUUGACCCCAAUAUUUCGAGGUUUUCAUUGCAUAACGAGGCCCAUCAAUAUCAUGUGAACCCAAUAGUAUGCCAUAGAACCAGAAACCGGACCCGCAAAAAACCUAAACUGGGUCGACCCGUAAAAAAAUGCAAAUAUCCUAAUUGUGACUGCAAAUAUAGACGGCUACAGCAAUACGUUAGAAACCCUAGGGAGAGACAAAGGCGACUGCUAAAAUUAGCUUGAACUAGAGUCUCUGCAACAAAUGGCGACUGCUAAAACUGUAAAGGACGUUUCCCCUCAUCAGUUCGUAAAGGCUUAUGUCAAGCGAUCUGGCAAGUGUAUAUGAUUUGGAGCUGGAUUUAAAGUCAAAACAUAUUUUCUAAAAGUGUGAACUUGAUUUGUUGAUUUUAUGACUAUUGCUUUGAGGGUUAUUACGGAUUUUAAAAGAGUAGACAUUGUUGUGACUAUGAGAAGGCGGUAGCAAAGUGGAAUAUGAAUAAAUAUUGUACAUUUUAUCUACCAUGUAACUUUUUUUUUGAGGUUUGGAGCAGGAAUGAACUGAUAGAUAGAGAAGCAAAUGAGUAUCUUUUAGAGUUUGAGAGAAAAAUUGUAAUUCUUGAAUGCUCCUCAAAAGUAUUUUGUAAAAUUUCAUAUCUAUGAUGGCCUUUCUAUAGUACAACUCAAUUGCUGAUGUGGGUGAGUUAGAGGUGUAUUUGAGCAGUAUGGAUGAACUUUACUUUUGGUCACAUUUGAAUAUUGGCGAGCCAAUGUCGAGACCAGCGUUUGUUUCAAUUGUUGGAUAAAUUUCGAUUUCGGUGAUUGGAUUUUGAGUUAAUGAGUAGGGUGAUUUGCCUU